GACCGAUUAGCUUAGCUGGUUAGAGUGUGAUGCUAACAAUGCCAAGGUUGCAGGUUUGAUCCCCAUACAGGUCA